UACAGAGGGGGCAAGCGUUGUUCGGAAUUACUGGGCGUAAAGGGCGCGUAGGCGGCCUUCUAAGUCGAACGUGAAAUCCCCGGGCUCAACCCGGGAACUGCGUCCGAUACUGGAAGGCUUGAAUCCGGGAGAGGGAUGCGGAAUUCCAGGUGUAGCGGUGAAAUGCGUAGAUAUCUGGAGGAACACCGGUGGCGAAGGCGGCCACCUGGACGGAUACUGACGCUGAGACGCGAAAGCGUGGGGAGCAAACAGG
rnacentral:rRNA from 1 species